rnacentral:misc_RNA from 1 species
AAGUCGUAACAAGGUUUCCGUAGGUGAACCUGCGGAAGGAUCAUUAUUGAAAUAAACCUGAUGGGUUGUUGCUGGCUCUCUAGGGAGCAUGUGCACGCCUUGUCAUCUUUAUAUCUCCACCUGUGCACCUUUUGUAGACCUUUCGGGGUCUAUGUUGCUUCAUUUUUCCACAAUGUAUGUUAAUAGAAUGUUGUGCCCUGUAUAAUAUAUACAACUUUCAGCAACGGAUCUCUUGGCUCUC